CCCAAACCGUCACAUACGACCAUAGGCAGUUGAAAAUACGGGAUCCCGUCCGCUCUCCCCUAGUCAAACAGCUGAGCGGGUUCUUGUCUGUCGGGUGAGCCAGCGCCCCGUUUCUUUUCGCUGAGUCACCCCGCCGAUGUUUUGACCUCCAGAAAAGGGCUCAACACCACCAUUUUCAGAAGUCCCAACGGACAGCACCGUCUUGUUGGCUUCACCCCU
rnacentral:rRNA from 1 species